AGAAAGAGGAAAAGAGAAGGAGAAAGAAAGAAGAAAAGACAAAGAGGAAGAAGAGGAAGGAAGAAGAUCAUGUUCAUCAACACCAUCACCUCAUCUUUAUCGUCACCAACUUCAUCUUCUUCUUUUACUAGGUAUUCUUUACAGGUUGAAUCUAAGAGAAACUGUUAUGGAUGUUUCAAGGGUUGCUGUUCAUUAUGAUCUUCCGUUGUGGAGUUGUGUGUAAUGAAGAUAUUGUACAUAGUUCUUAGAUUUUUAUUGUUUAGGCAUUAUUGUAAAACAUGUUCCAUUGAUGUUUUAGUUUGGACAUGUAUAUAUACUGAUGCCAUUAGGCACUUAUGUUGUGACAGUACAAAAAUUUAACA